CCUACGGGAGGCAGCAGUGGGGAAUAUUGCACAAUGGGCGCAAGCCUGAUGCAGCCAUGCCGCGUGUGUGAAGAAGGCCUUCGGGUUGUAAAGCACUUUCAGCGGGGAGGAAGGCGUUAAGGUUAAUAACCUUGGCGAUUGACGUUACCCGCAGAAGAAGCACCGGCUAACUCCGCGCCAGCAGCCGCGGUAAUACGGAGGGUGCAAGCGUUAAUCGGAAUUACUGGGCGUAAAGCGCACGCAGGCGGUCUGUCAAGUCGGAUGUGAAAUCCCCGGGCUCAACCUGGGAACUGCAUUCGAAACUGGCAGGCUAGAGUCUUGUAGAGGGGGGUAGAAUUCCAGGUGUAGCGGUGAAAUGCGUAGAGAUCUGGAGGAAUACCGGUGGCGAAGGCGGCCCCCUGGACAAAGACUGACGCUCAGGUGCGAAAGCGUGGGGAGCAAACAGGAUUAGAUACCCCUGUAGUC
rnacentral:rRNA from 1 species